AGAAGACCCGCCCUUGCUCUGUCCUCCUGUCUGUCACCAAGACCCCAGCUUGCUUUGUAAGGUCUCAACUCUUGGCUUUGUAGGGUUUGGGGGAGCCCAGUGGGGUGAAGGAUGAGGGGGUGGGAUGGCCCUUGGCAGCCCCUCCCUCCGGUGCCGAAUCUGGCCUGUUCACCCGGCUAGCUUCUUCCUUCACCUCCUGCUUUCUCCAUUUCCAAACCAUUUCAGGGGACGGGAGUUUGAUUCAUCAGAGUCCACACCGCGGUGGCCGCUACCAUCAUCUGGGGGUAGGGAACUCACUUAGUGGGAACAGAAUGCCUGAGGCUGCCAGAGAGAAGCAGCGGGGAAAGCCGAAAGGUAUCCACAAAACUGUGAGCAGGUGAUUUGCCUGCAGGGCUGGGGAGACAAGUGUGCACAGCGCCACCUAGGCCCAGAUGCAGGAAGCACAACUCCUGCAAGACUUGAGGGCUGUUCUGUUUCGGAGAACCUGAUGGAGCAGGUGUGGGGCAGUGUGGGGCAUGGGGAUGGGCACAGUCUGGUGUCGCUGGUGGAAGUGACAGAAAUCGGCUGUCAGGUUCCCACAGUGCCUUGCCACUCGGUCUCAGAAAGGCCAGCGCCUCCUGGAGGACAUGUGUGCCAAUUUGCCUGCUGCCUUGCACCUUCUACAGCAGCUGAGGUGAGGAGUGGCCCGGGCACAGCGCACCACACUUGAAGCUUCGGUGAAAGAUUAAAGGAUGCCCCUGGGAUGGUGGUCAGAAUCCUGACUGUAGAUGGAUUCUCCCCAGGGAAGCAAGAAUAAGUUGAAACGCUUGAUCCUGCUUCUCUGAAUGCUUCUGGUUGGCUCCUGUUCAUUCAUGUCUUAGACCUGGCAGAUCUUCAAAAUGCUGCUCGAACAAUGGCCAAUGGGAAGCUAGCACAGCCGCAGCCGGGUGGAAAGGUGAAGGGAGGGGUCGCUGCCUUGGACCUGCGCAGACCAGGCAGGCACAUCAAGAGUUGCUCCUUCUCGUCCUCCGUCCUCUCUCAGCUUCUGUAGCAGAGCCCGACUUGUUCCUUUCAUGAGCUGGGCAGCUCUGGGUGACCCGUAGUUUGGCUAUGUCCUCUAUCCUGACUUCAGGCUGCCUAGACCAGGUUCAUUUUAGCCACGUGACUCCAACAGUUUGCUUUGCCUUGUAUUUCUGCCCCAGUUUUCCCACCCACUGCUCCAGGUGUGAAUACCGAGUCUUCUGCCUCUGGACAUGAUGGCCUUCCUGUCCUUGCAGUCCAUAAAUGAGACUCUGCUGCUGAUCAGAGUGAAGGCAGCAAUCCUAUGCAUAAUCUCCUGAGGCAACUGUCCAGCUGGGUCCCAUUCUCUCUACGUAAAGUCACAUCCCAGGAAGCUACUCCCAUUGGUGUUUCUAACCCCUGGACAUGAAUGGCGACUAAUCCCACCCUCUAUUAACGCCAAGGUGACACUAAGCCCCUCUUGUCCAUUAUUACCCUGUAGCUUCCUCAUGGAGGCCUUGGGAAGCCCCACGCUGCAGAUGAGGAAAGCCACAAAUCUGAGACUGGCCACUGAGUUCUGACUUACACAGUGAGAGUUCCCCGUAGGUCAGCCUGGCAGUGUUAGCUGCUUGCCUGCGAAAGCCCUCCCAGUGCAUGCUUGGUUAAGGCUGGCAGAGCAUUCCAUCCACCACAGAGGCCAAGGGCUUCUUACAUGGACUGGAACUUCCUGUAUCAGGGGAGGCCCCAUGGGGGCUGUAUGGGGUUUCUCAGAAGGCAGGCGCUGGGACCCCAUAGUUUCCACAGCUGAGUGGGCUCCAGUCCCUCAGGAAUGGCAGAAGAGAAAUGAAGAGGGCAGAGAGGAUUGGCUGAGGACGACCCCUCACUGAAGACUGUUCUUUUAGCUCUGGGAAGAGUCAGCAUUGGUGCUGUGUGAGGAAGAGAUGCUGUGGGCAGCCAAUGGUCUGAGAGAGCGGUGGUGACCGGAACCAGGACACAGCUGCAAAGUCAUAGAUGUCGGGUGACACUGAGGCUCGGAGGAGAGGAAGACGAAGAUCUGACUGAGCCCGCCGUGAGGGAUCUGAGCUGAGGUGAGAUCAGUCCGGAAGGAUGCACAUCACUGACUCCACAGGCUGUGUGGUAGGAGGGACUGUCCUGACUCAGUGCUGUCUGUCUGUGUGCAAAGAAGUCCUCAGGGGCCAACCUAACCAUCAGCUUUCUGCCUCAGUGGAGAUUCUGCCUGCCCACUUUCUUCCAAAGAGCAGGGUUUGGGGGCACACGUGUUGGACCACUCUCCAGAGGCAUCAGCAAUCAACCCUGUCGCUACGCACUUGAUCCACGGUUGCUGCUGAGGAGUUCCUGGUUCAUCACGUGGCCGUGCUGAGGCGCCACAGAGAAGCCUCAUUCAAAGUGGAGCGCAAACAACUUGUAGCAAGCCUGAAAGUCGCUAUAAUUGCAGACUGUUGACACUGGUCAUGUGUACACACCUGUGCCCAUGUACAAGCAUAGACUCACCUGCAUGCUGUUAUCUUACCCACUGUGAGGUCGAGGCUAGUGCUGGGACACACACCAGCUCGUGUCAUCCAGCUUUCUUUUCUUUCUCCUCCCUCAGCCCCAAACCCUAAUAAUGACCAUUUAUUGAGCACCUACUGUGUGGCAGGCAAGAUACCAGCCUGCUGAUUCAUCAUUUUGCACCAAGGUUGUAGGGGUAGAGGAGUUGACUUUCCAAACAUGGCCAAACCGAAUCAAUCCUGUCGAUUAUUAAUGUCUGUGGUAGGUGCAGGAAGGGAGUACUGAUAAAGGUGCUUCAUGUGUGCCUUAAUUUGUGAGGCAUAUAAUAUUGCAUGCUUUCUAGUUAAUCAUGGGUCAUUUAGUAAGUUGCCCCCAAACUUUUGUGGAAUAAGACUUUGUGUAACUAAGUAAUGACCGUUCAUUAUAAAUAAGUAUUGAGUG
ensembl:lincRNA Gm13003 predicted gene 13003